UACAGAGGUCUCAAGCGUUGUUCGGAUUCAUUGGGCGUAAAGGGCGCGUAGGCGGCGGGGUAAGUCGGGUGUGAAAUCUCAGAGCUCAACUCUGAAACUGCACUCGAUACUGCUCUGCUUGAGGACUGGAGAGGAGACUGGAAUUCACGGUGUAGCAGUGAAAUGCGUAGAUAUCGUGAGGAAGACCAGUGGCGAAGGCGGGUCUCUGGACAGUUCCUGACGCUGAGGCGCGAAGGCCAGGGGGAGCAAAACGGGG
rnacentral:rRNA from 1 species